GAGAGAGAGAGAGAGAGAGAGAUAGAGAGAGAGGGAGGGAGAAUGUCGCGACUACCGUCAGUCGACAGCCGAGAGAGGAGAGGAGGAAGGAAAAGAGGAAAAAUGAGAAAAAAAGGGUGGUGCUGCGCGCAACUGUGCGCGGGAGAAAGGGAUGGUUUGCGCGGCGAUUCCAGGUGCAUUUGGCUAUUCUGUAGCUCCCUCCGACAUGAUUCCACCAUAUUUAUGCUGGAUCUGAGGGCGCAAGGGGCUCUGCAAUGAAUUUCAGUCAAUUCACAACGGCGAUUAGCAGCAGGCCGGCGGCGGCGUAUGGUGGUCUGGUGGUGGCGUGUGUGGAGGCGAACGGACUUCCGAUGGUUACAUGCAAUGAGUUCUAGGGACCCGGUUCGGGUAGGUGUUUGAAAUUAGAAGAUAACUAGCUCGUUACUAACUCGAUACGGAUGUCACUGUAACAAGUUGGUCUUGUACAUUGGAGAUAAUUUUACGAACGAGAUUUAGACGAAAAUCAAGUAAGUGUGUAAGUAAUUAUAAAUGUAAUUUAAUCUUUUUAAGAUAUUAAAACUGUGGUAUUUAAUAAUUGGUGAUUAGACACAUGAUUCCGAUAAGAUUUUUCUACUGAUUAUUGUGUUCUUAUUUAUGUUCACUACCGAAAUUGCUGAUUAAUUGUAUUACAAUAUUUUGGUAAAUGAAUUCGUGUAUAUACUGGUUGCUAUGUAA